UGGAGCACCCACAGAUCCUGGUUUAUCUCUGGUCGUUCGAAGAUCGCGGUACAAAACAACAAGGAUGUUGAAUUGGGAGUUUACAACACGUCGAAGACGUUAUGCGCUGUUUGUCCGUAAGACAUAGGAUCGGCAUUUAAGCCCUGACGCGUUGAUUCUGAGACACGUGUAAUCUCAGCCUUAGGAAAGUUUCACCGAUCUCGUUACCGUUGUAUAGUAACUAGGAAGGGAAGUGGUGAUGACGAGACACGCUCAGGCGCUGAAGACAGCGCUGGAGGCCGUGCUCCGCAGAGAUUUGGCUUUCACAUGAAGAGUAUACGGACGUGCACAUCCGGACGAUCCCGCUUCUGAUUGGUUGACGGUACUCUGGCUUCCACCGCAGUGCCACGCUAUUGAGAGAGUACUGCGUCCCGUUCUCUCCACCGACCUCGCCGUCUUGUUGGACAGUGUCCGCAUGCAACCGCUUUACUUUUGUCAAACUUCCGAACCGGGACCAUUCACCCAAUAGCAACAAAAGAUGCAACGUUACUUUCUCGUGCCUCAUUGUUAUGGUCCACAUUGAACUUUGUCACUCCUGAGAGUAUGCUUAGUGCGAUUUGCUCUGGGAAAGUUCGUAAUCACUUGGGGACAGUUGUCACCAUGUUCGUAAUCUUUUUCUUCUAUGACGAUCCAGUAUUGAGCGGCAGUUCGUUUUAUAAAGCUCUGUAGGUGGAUGCUGUCGCGUGCUAGGAGAACACCUUACGCGCGAAUUCACACGUUAAACAUAUCCGUCCAUUGCAGCAGCAGUUCUUGUGAUAUCACUGCCAUGUUACCUGUCCAAGUAAUAGUGUGUUUGAUGCAUUAUCACGCCAGCGCCGGGCAGCUAUGCGGCGGUGCUGAUCAACGCUUCGUUCACACUGCUUCGUUGCCUUGACAUUGCGUGCGUGACGAAGCAGUAAGUAUAAGAAUGAGGCAAGUGUGCAAAGCCGUUAUCGUACAGUGCACAUUCACUUUGUGUCGCUGGGCAUGCCGGUAUUAGAUAAUAACAGCGCUAGAUAAUCAAGCGCAAUCAAAUACAACAGACGAGAAGAAAGAGACAGGACUGAGUGCUCCGUCUUUAGUUUGUGCAGCGCAAAAAAAGAAAGAAAAAGACGAAAAGGAACGUUCACAAAACGACGUGGACAGCGCCUGUCCACGUCGUUUUGUGUUCUUUCUUGUCCUAUUUUCUGUGUUUUUUGAAAGCGCAGCUAUGAGGUGUCCGUUCCUGUGUCGGCGUCCUACCUCGUAACCGAGCGAAUGAGCACAGCGAAAGAUGAGAACGAGCGCGGAGCGCAGCGGGGGAUGAAAAAAGGGGCGAGAGCCAAGAUAGCGCGAGGAGGAGAGCGCAGCGGAACCUUCAGGCGGAAAGCGGAGGAGGAGGGUAUUGCGAAAGCGUGAGAGGAAAAGCAUAGUGCUGCGCACGAGGGGCUUUGCGGCGACAAUGGCUACGAGAUGGCGCCAGAGUAUCGCGCGUCGUCUGUAUGGAAACAAAGCGCUGCAUGAGCGUAGGGUGUCUGCGGCGACUGCUCUGAAUCGCGCCCACGAGUCACCCACGCGCUUCCUUUCGCGAUAUCCCUAUUAGCGAGGCCGUCGCGCCACACUUCGCUCCGUUUGCAACGUGCCGCACGAGACAGACUGUCCGCGCCAUCCAAUAUAUCGCGAAAUGCAAACACGUAUACAGGUGAAUUCAAAUUUGCAUUAGGGAGUGUCGUAAUUGUCGGUGAAUUUUUUUUUGCGCUACACAAACUUAGUACUCCCGCGAAAUGUACUAACUCGCCCGUGAGCGAAUUGUUUCGGUGCUCCGUCUUCUCUAUUUCUUCUCUUUAGUUAUAUUUUAGGAGGUCGAAAUUUGUCUUCGCCUAUUAAAACGGCCGUACUAGCGCAACUGCCUCUAAUAAACAGGUAGAACUCGUGGUGAGCGCCUUACCUGUGCGCCAAGUGUGGUUCAGCAUGUGCUUCUAGUUGCGCGAGAAAAGAGCGUGCGCCACUUGCUUCAUUAAAGGUGAUUCAGGCCUCAGCUUUGCGCUGUAUACUUUGUUGAUGCCUUAUAAACAUUUAGUUUGUCAUUUCAGCGUGUGUGCAAGUUGCUGUAAACAUUGAAUUGAGGUUUUUCUUUGACAUUGCUGUUCGGGUGCAAUGCUUGUAUUUGUUAAUCCCAUCUUGUGUUUGUCGUUGUACUACAUAUUGUUAGGUGCGAUUAUAUUUCAUAACGGCCUAGCUGCGCUUAAGUGGGAAUGACUACGAAAGCAACAGAAAAGACUAGCGUGUAUCGUUUUUUUUUCCCCAUGCGGCAAAGUUGACCGAUAUGGAUCAACUAGGACCUUUCGUUGCUCUGUUCAGUGAGAAUGGGCAUUUUAAUAAUCCAGGCGAGACAGAGGGUCACAGACAAAUUUGGGCUUAAAGUGAUCAACCGUGCUCAAGCAAAGUAUGCUGCUUCAAUCAACGUUUCCACGAGAGACUUGUCAGGAAAAAGCCCACUUGUCUAAAUGUUGACUCCAUCGGCAUCUCUUGUUUGGCCCUCCUUCACCAGCUUCAUUUUAUUCGCGCAUUCACGUCCAUUCUAAGUAUGUCAGUCCGCCGUAACCUUCACGAAAGAUUAAAACCUUGGCGAAGGCACAGACUACAACCGCCGCGCGGAAUGGCGCUUUAAGGAAUGCGCGUGACAAUCGCACUUGCCUAUCAAAUAAGCCGAAGCUCUCGGCAGUACCACGUAUCCGUGUGUGCCGCCAUUGUCAGCAAUUUGGAUCGUACUGCGCAUUGCUACUACUGGUCGUCCAAAGCCCAAUAGAGAGAUCAUGCACUAUUGCCCAAAUCUUGAGCGCACUAUCGCACCGAAAUAAAUACGGUGGAUAGCGGCCCAGAAAGCGAUUUCAUGACGUCACUCGUCACGUGCACAGUGGCAUUGAAACUUUCGAAAAAAUCUGUACUCAAUGUGUGGCGCCAAGUGAGCACCAUUUCGCUUUCUGUCUUUACUGUGACAUGCUUGCGGAGUAAGCGUCAUGCGCGACAAGCGGUGGCCGACAACUUAUUGCCAAAUCGAGCAGUCUUCCUCUGGGCAAGUAGGUGUGGAGAAAUUGGUGGCCUUCGUUUUCUCCUCCGCUUGGCGUGCUGUGCACUUGUGGGAGUAGUGCGAACUCUUCUCCAAUGGGUGGGGGCGGCUGUUAAGAGUUAGCACCACGGAGGAAAGAAACUGGAAGGGAACACGACGCUACGCAGCGAGCCUUCGAAAGUCAUGAAGUCGUCCUUUUUGCUGUUUAAAGCGAAUGGUUUUAUUUGACUCGGUUACCCGUUUUCGUGGUUGGACUUUGCGCCGACGCAUGCGCGUUCGCUGCCUAAUCUUGCCGCUCUUUGAGACGCUGUAGCUGUCCACCGGUGCUGCUACCGAUGUAGAUAUGCUGAUUAACGGCUCCGUUUUCCGGGGAAUAUUGAAAUGAAGCAAGAAAACGCAGCUUUCGUAUUUAUUGCAGUGAGAAUACACUGCAAUAAAUAUAGGCCGUUAAGUGGGUCAUUCCUUUGAUAAUGCGCGUCGCUUUCUUUAACGUGUUCAGCUAUUGUUUACAUUAACAAUCACCAUCGGUACAUUAACAAUCAUCGUCGGUAGUUUCUGCGCUAACUUUCUCUCGGCCGUGCCUCUAAAUGUCGGCCCAACACGAAAGCCUGCGUUCGGCCGACUGGGCCUAGUAAUUUUUGAUCCCGGUAGGUUUCAGUCAGUGCACACUUGUUCGAGUUCAUUGGCAACCGCUCCGUGUACAUUUUCUCCCGAUAUGCUUGUGCCCCCUUGGCCGUUCGUGGGAACCAAUAUAACGCAUGCAUUUGUCGUCUUCGUUGAAAUGUGCGAGCGUGGCAGCCGCAUUUCGCUGCCGGAUCUCGCUUUUGUCGGAAGAGCGAGCACUGGGAACGGCUGUGGAAGACACUAAACCCCACCGCCACAUGAUCACGUGCUGGAGCGAAUUUCUUUGGCUUCAAUUUUACCGCGUGGCGUACCCGCCUCGUUCAUCUGAUUCCUCCGUAUUAGCACGCAGUGCACGCGAGACCGCGUUAUCAGAACAAUGAGCGUGGUUUCAUUUUCGAGCCGUCCAACUUAGCCUUUGUCAUCUGUGUGACUGUCUUCUGUCUUGUUGUACUGUGUGUCAGUGAUAAAAUUUUAUAAUGAACCUGUGUCAUGCGACCGGACUUCGACGAUUAUACAAAACUUCACUGCAUAAUCGUCUUAGUUUGCGAAGGGUUGAGCGUGCCUUUGCGUAUGUGCAGUUUAUUUUUUAUAGGCAAAUAAACAAGACAUGUUUACACAA